rnacentral:rRNA from 1 species
GACGAACGCUGGCGGCGUGCCUAAUACAUGCAAGUCGAGCGAACAGAUAAGGAGCUUGCUCCUUUGAAGUUAGCGGCGGACGGGUGAGUAACACGUGGGUAACCUACCUAUAAGACUGGGAUAACUUCGGGAAACCGGAGCUAAUACCGGAUAACAUUUAGAACCGCAUGGUUCUAAAGUGAAAGAUGGUUUUGCUAUCACUUAUAGAUGGACCCGCGCCGUAUUAGCUAGUUGGUAAGGUAACGGCUUACCAAGGCGACGAUACGUAGCCGACCUGAGAGGGUGAUCGGCCACACUGGAACUGAGCCACGGUCCAGACUCCUACGGGAGGCAGCAGUAGGGAAUCUUCCGCAAUGGGCGAAAGCCUGACGGAGCAACGCCGCGUGAGUGAUGAAGGGUUUCGGCUCGUAAAACUCUGUUAUUAGGGAAGAACAAAUGUGUAAGUAACUGUGCACAUCUUGACGGUACCUAAUCAGAAAGCCACGGCCAACUACGUGCCAGCAGCCGCGGUAACAC